UGAAUACGAGACGCUAAGGCGUUGAAGUAGUGUAUGUCAUACUUCCAAGAAAAGCUUGCACUGUCAUAGAUAAAAAACGCCUGUACCAUAACCGACACAGGUGGGUAGGUAGAGUAUACUAAGGGGCGCGAGAUAACUCUCUCUAAGGAACUCGGCAAAAUAACUCCGUAACUUCGGGAGAAGGAGUGCCUUAUUUAUAAGGCUGCAAUAACAAGAUCCAAGCAACUGUUUAUCAAAAACACAGGUCUCCGCUAAGUCGUAAGACGAUGUAUGGGGGCUGACGCCUGCCCAGUGCCAGAAGGUUAAAGAAGUUGGUUAGCAAUAGCGAAGCUGAUAACUGAAGCCCUGGUGAACGGCGGCCGUAACAAUAACGGUCCUAAGGUAGCGAAAUUCCUUGUCGGGUAAGUUCCGACCAGCACGAAAGGCGUAAUGAUUUGGAUACUGUCUCGGAGAGGGGCUCGGUGAAAUAGACUUGUCUGUGAAGAUGCGGACUACCUGCACCAGGACAGAAAGACCCUAUGAAGCUUUACUGUAACUUGAAAUUGAAAUUGGACUUUAUUCGCGCAGUAUAGGUGGGAGGCGUUGAUUGUAAUCUUGCGGGAUUAUUGGAGCCAUCAGUGAGAUACCACCCUUGUAAUGUUAGAUUUCUAACUUUGAAUCAUUAUCUGGUCAAAGAACAGUUUCAGGCGGGCAGUUUGACUGGGGCGGUCGCCUCCUAAACGGUAACGGAGGCGUACAAAGGUUUCCUCUGGACGGUUAGAAAUCGUAUCUAGAGUGUAAAGGCAUAAGGAAGCUUGACUGUGAGACCUACAAGUCGAGCAGGGACGAAAGUCGGUCUUAGUGAUCUGACGGUACUGAGUGGAAAGGCCGUCACUCAACGGAUAAAAGUUACUCUAAGGAUAACAGGCUGAUCUCCCCCAAGAGUUCACAUCGACGGGGAGGUUUGGCACCUCGAUGUCGGCUCAUCGCAUCCUGGGGCGGUAGUACGUCCCAAGGGUUGGGCUGUUCGCCCAUGAAAGCGGUACGCGAGCUGGGUUCAGAACGUCGUGAGACAGUUCGGUCCAUAUCCGGUGUAGGCGUUAGAAUAUUAAGAGGAGCCUUCUUUAGUACGAGAGGACCGAGAAGGACAUACCUCUGGUGUACCAGUUAUCGUGCCAACGGUAAACGCUGGGUAGCUAUGUAUGGAGUGGAUAACCGCUGAAAGCAUCUAAGUGGGAAGCCCACCUCAAGAUAAGUAUUCUCAUC
rnacentral:rRNA from 1 species